CUCGCAUGUUGGCUAACGUCAUGAUGAUUCGUAAUGCAUUUUAUGGCACAGGAGUUUGAAAAAAUAUUCCCUCACCAAAGACAUAACAAGGAAGGAUGCAGAAAAGGCAGUGCCAAAAUGGCUGAUUGGUGCCAGGGACAGGGGACGCAACCGUGCCAUGAGAGCACAUGGAGGAGAGCAAAACCGGGCCGUUGGAACAGGGAGGACACAGGAGUAGGCCAAGUACAAGAAGACCAUCCACACAUGCACACCCACACAACAUUCUGUGCAUUACUCCGUUUUUGUUAUAUUUACAGUUGUUGAAUAAACUGUUUUCCUUAGAAA